GACGAACGCUGGCGGCGUGCCUAAUACAUGCAAGUAGAACGCUGAAGAGAGGAGCUUGCUCUUCUUGGAUGAGUUGCGAACGGGUGAGUAACGCGUAGGUAACCUGACUUGUAGCGGGGGAUAACUAUUGGAAACGAUAGCUAAUACCGCAUAACAAUGGAUGACACAUGUCCUUUAUUUGAAAGGGGCAAUUGUUCCACUACAAGAUGGACCUGCGUUGUAUUAGCUAGUAGGUGAGGUAAUGGCUCACCUAGGCGACGAUACAUAGCCGACCUGAGAGGGUGAUCGGCCACACUGGGACUGAGACACGGCCCAGACUCCUACGGGAGGCAGCAGUAGGGAAUCUUCGGCAAUGGGGGCAACCCUGACCGAGCAACGCCGCGUGAGUGAAGAAGGUUUUCGGAUCGUAAAGAUCUGUUGUAAGUCAAGAACGGGUGUGAGAGUGGAAAGUUCACACUGUGACGGUAGCUUAACAGAAAGGGACGGCUAACUACGUG
rnacentral:rRNA from 1 species